rnacentral:rRNA from 1 species
UCGGUAAUUCCAGCUCCAAUAGCGUAUAUUAAAGUUGUUGCAGUUAAAAAGCUCGUAGUUGGAUUUGUGGAUGGGCCGUCCGGUGCGCUCUUUUGAGCGUUACAUGGGUAGCUCGUCCAUCCUUGGGUGGAAUCUGUGUGGCAUUAAGUUGUCGUGCAGGGGAUGCCCAUCUUUUACUGUGAAAAAAUUAGAGUGUUCAAAGCAGGCUUAUGCCGUUGAAUAUAUUAGCAUGGAAUAAUGAGAUAGGACCUUGGUACUAUUUUGUUGGUUUGCGCACCGAGGUAAUGAUUAAUAGGGACAGUUGGGGGUAUUCGUAUUCCAUUGUCAGAGGUGAAAUUCUUGGAUUUUUGGAAGACGAACUACUGCGAAAGCAUUUACCAAGGAUGUUUUCAUUAAUCAAGAACGAAAGUUAGGGGAUCGAAGAUGAUUAGAUACCAUCGUAGUCUUAACCAUAAACUAUGCCGACAAGGGAUUGGCGGUCGUUGUAUUGACUCCGUCAGCACCUUAUGAGAAAUCACAAGUCUUUGGGUUCCGGGGGGAGUAUGGUCGCAAGGCUGAAACUUAAAGA